rnacentral:rRNA from 1 species
GGACCCGCACAAGUAGCGGAGCAUGUGGUUUAAUUCGAAGCAACGCGAAGAACCUUACCUAAGCUUGACAUCCUUUUGACCUCUCCCUAAUCGGAGAUUUCCCUUCGGGGACAGAAGUGACAGGUGGUGCAUGGUUGUCGUCAGCUCGUGUCGUGAGAUGUUGGGUUAAGUCCCGCAACGAGCGCAACCCUUGCCUUUAGUUGCCAGCAUUAAGUUGGGCACUCUAGAGGGACUGCCAGGGAUAACCUGGAGGAAGGUGGGGAUGACGUCAAAUCAUCAUGCCCCUUAUGCUUAGGGCUACACACGUGCUACAAUGGGUGGUACAGAGGGCAGCCAAGUCGUGAGGCGGAGCUAAUCCCUUAAAGCCAUUCUCAGUUCGGAUUGUAGGCUGAAACUCGCCUACAUGAAGCUGGAGUUACUAGUAAUCGCAGAUCAGAAUGCUGCGGUGAAUGCGUUCCCGGGUCUU